UACGGAGGGUGCAAGCGUUGUUCGGAAUUAUUGGGCGUAAAGAGCGUGUAGGCGGUUGAACAAGUCAGAUGUGAAAUCCCUCGGCUCAACCGAGGAAGUGCAUUUGAAACUGUUCGGCUUGAGUACGGGAGAGGAGAGCGGAAUUCCCGGUGUAGAGGUGAAAUUCGUAGAUAUCGGGAGGAACACCGGUGGCGAAGGCGGUUCUCUGGCCCGAUACUGACGCUGAGACGCGAAAGCGUGGGGAGCAAACAGG
rnacentral:rRNA from 1 species